GCCCAGGUGGCGAAAUUGGCAGACGCACCAGAUUUAGGUUCUGGCGCCGCGAGGCGUGGGGGUUCGAGUCCCUUCCUGGGCACCA
rnacentral:tRNA from 1 species